CUUUCCCCAAUCUGUGAAGUAGCUAAUAAUAUAGAACAAAAUGCUCAAGAGAAUGAAAAUGAAAGCCAAAAGAAGAAUACUGCAGCUUCCUUACAACAGUGGAAAGUUGGGGACAAAUGUUCUGCCAUUUGGUCAGAAGACGGUUG
rnacentral:sRNA from 1 species